AUGAAGAACGUAGCGAAAUGCGAUAAGUAAUGUGAAUUGCAGAAUUCAGUGAAUCAUCGAAUCUUUGAACGCAUAUUGCGCCCCUUGGUUAUUCCGGGGGGCAUGCCUGUCCGAGCGUCAUUACAACCCUCAAGCUCAGCUUGGUGUUGGGCCCCGCCGCCCCGGCGGGCCCUAAAGUCAGUGGCGGUGCCGUCCGGCUCCGAGCGUAGUAAUUCUUCUCGCUCUGGAGGUCCGGUCGUGUGCUCGCCAGCAACCCCCAAUUUUUUUCAGGUUGACCUCGGAUCAGGUAGGGAUACCCGCUGAACUUAAGCAUAUCAAUAAGCGGAGGA
rnacentral:misc_RNA from 1 species